UACGUAGGGUGCAGGCGUUAAUCGGAAUUACUGGGCGUAAAGCGUGCGCAGGCGGUUUGCUAAGUCAGGGGUGAAAUCCCCGAGCUUAACUUGGGAACUGCGCUUGUAACUGGCAAGCUAGAGUGUGGCAGAGGGGAGUGGAAUUCCACGUGUAGCAGUGAAAUGCGUAGAGAUGUGGAGGAACACCGAUGGCGAAGGCAGCCCCCUGGGCUAACACUGACGCUCAUGCACGAAAGCGUGGGGAGCAAACAGG
rnacentral:rRNA from 1 species